CUCUCCCUCUCCUGCUAGUCCUGAGUAAGCCUUGCUGCCCCACUGGGUGGCUCGAGGCAACAGCUAGAGGGGGAGCCGUCUCGGACCUGGUCAAAGAAAAAGGGCUUUAUAAUCUCAAGACAUUGGAUGAAGCAUUUUGAAAGAAAUAAGGAUGAAAACAAAAUCCUGGAGCUAUGAUCUGGCCAAGGUCUCUUUCUCCCCUUCCCAGCUCGAUAAGAUGUGACCACUUACUCCAACAUGAGCUCUGCACCAUUGCCAUUGGUCAAAUAUAUGGGGUUUUCCAACUUUGAAUUAAGAACCUCUAAGGCUAUAAGCUAAAUAAACCUUUUCUCCUUA